CCCAGGUCAGAUCUCGAACUCUGUUCUCAAUUCGAAACGAGAUGAGCGCCUCCUGUUCUCUGAUUCCACAUCUCGAUACUGCCUCCAGCAUGGAGGUUCAAGGGCUAGAUUCGUCAUGGAUACUACACCGACAAGAUGCAAACCAGACGGAAUAUGGGUGCUACAGCCCAAGCCGGAGCUUCGACUCGGCGAGCUAUGGAAGCAGCGGCGGCGCCGAAUUUGGAGAAGGUAGCGGAAGUUCCAGGGCCGGCACUCCAGGUGCCGCUACCCGUCGCUCCGAUUCACCGCAUUGCCGGGGUCAUGGAGCGACAGGUGCGUAAUCACUGAUUUUAACAUCUGACAAAUUACUCAGAAUCGGAUUUAACAUGGCGAGUAGCAUUUUGCCCCUGUAGCUAGCGCACAAAUCUCGUGAUUUAGUGGUCUGGAGAUUAGACCCGGUUCUAAUACGAGGACAAACUGACAUCUCAGGGGAAAACCAAGAGCAACUAUAUGUGAUGUCUGGUUUCUUUGAGGCAGUCUGGCGUAAGAUAAAACGCUCGUGGAAUCAUUUUAGGUCUGGGCAAAAUAACCCCGGAAUCAAAUCUCUCUGGUUUCUAAGAGAUGCAAAGUUUGUUUCAGAGGUUGUUUUUCAGUUAGUGUGAGAGGUUGUAAUUUAGAUAAGGAUCAGAACAGAAUAGGCACUUAUGCAGUAGUAUUUAUGCUUGCCCUGUGGUCCUCUAGCCGCUGAUCAGGUAAGAUCCCAUCGUUCGAUUUUGCUUGCAUUUGAUUUUAUGAGAUUUCCUCCGAUCUGAUGGAGUUGGAUCAAACUGCAGCAAGGAGUGACGAGCGGUCCCGCGUGGCAGCAGGUCGAGUGCUUGGAGAAGUUCGUCGCCUGCAACGCCAUGGACCAGUCGUGCGUACACCGGGCCUCUCCGAUGCCCUGCGUUGAGGACGCCUCCACCUUGGGACUGCGAAUUGGAUCUGCAGCUCGCUGUCAUCUCACAGCUUGUCGGGGGAUGCCGUGGAGGCUUGCUGAAUCAGCUUAUUAUAAGCUUCGGUUCUCUGUUUGAGAGGAUGAUAUAUGUAAUUUCAUGUGUUCUGCAAAGAGGCAGUAUGCACAAAACAGCAAGGUACCUUUAGAAGCGAUGCAAUCAGGUGCCAGUGGAAUCCUGUUGGUCUACUACGAGCUCCUUGUGCGGCUUACUUUUUAGGCAAACUUUGUUUUCUAAGAUGAGAUGAGAAGUUCAGUUGCCAACUGACAUGUACAGUUUGCUUUCGUUAUAUUUGCUAUGGGCUUGUAACCCCAGUCUCGUUC